UACGUAGGGUGCGAGCGUUAAUCGGAAUUACUGGGCGUAAAGCGUGCGCAGGCGGUCAUGCAAGACAGAUGUGAAAUCCCUGGGCUCAACCUGGGAACUGCAUAUGUGACUGUAUGGCUGGAGUACGGCAGAGGGGGAUGGAAUUCCGCGUGUAGCAGUGAAAUGCGUAGAUAUGCGGAGGAACACCGAUGGCGAAGGCAAUCCCCUGGGCAUGUACUGACGCUCAAGCACGAAAGCGUGGGGAGCAAACAGG
rnacentral:rRNA from 1 species